AUUGAACGCUGGCGGCAGGCCUAGCACAUGCAAGUCGAACGGUAACAGGAAACAGCUUGCUGUUUCGCUGACGAGUGGCGGACGGGUGAGUAAUGUCUGGGAAACUGCCUGAUGGAGGGGGAUAACUACUGGAAACGGUAGCUAAUACCGCAUAACGUCGCAAGACCAAAGAGGGGGACCCUCGGGCCUCUUGCCAUCGGAUGUGCCCAGAUGGGAUUAGCCUGUUGGUGGGGUAACGGCUCACCAAGGCGACGAUCCCUAGCUGGUCUGAGAGGAUGACCAGCCACACUGGAACUGAGACACGGUCCAGACUCCUACGGGAGGCAGCAGUGGGGAAUAUUGCACAAUGGGCGCAAGCCUGAUGCAGCCAUGCCGCGUGUAUGAAGAAGGCCUUCGGGUUGUAAAGUACUUUCAGCGGGGAGGAAGGGAGUAAAGUUAAUACCUUUGCUCAUUGACGUUACCCGCAGAAGAAGCACCGGCUAACUCCGUG
rnacentral:rRNA from 1 species